AGGGGUUUGAUGCAGGGUUUAAAAGCAAUGCACGGUGGAACAACUGAGACAAACAAUUUGUGUAAGACAAACUUUAGCGGUGCUGGUCUAGCCUCUGCUUCAGAGUCAAGCUGUUAAGUUUUUGUUUGCUGGAAGAGCUUCUGGAAAUAACAAUGACCCUCAGAGUGUUUCUGGCUCUAUUGCUCCCCCUGCUGGUUGGGAGCAGCUCAGCUUCUCAGGAACUGUUCCCGACAGACUGCUCUGACAUCUACGCUAACGGACAAACCCAGAGUGGAGUUUACACCAUCUAUCCUGCAGGUGGCACACCUGUACAGGUGCAAUGUGACAUGGGCUGUGAUGGACAAACAAAGGAUGGAAACUGGACGGUGUUUCAGAGGAGAAUGGAUGGCAGUGUGAACUUCUACAGACCAUGGGAGCAGUACAAGAACGGAUUUGGGAACAAAAGUGGAGAAUACUGGCUGGGACUGGAGAGCCUCUACCAGCUCACCAGCAAGAGAAAUUAUGAGCUGAGAGUGGACCUGGAGGACUUUGAGGGAGUGACAGCUUAUGCCCAGUACUCUACUUUCUCUGUGGACUCCGAAGUCAAUGGCUACAAACUCCGUGUUGGUGGAUUCAUCAACAGAGGAGCAGGCGACUCACUGGGAUUACACAAUGGACAGAAGUUCUCCACCUUUGACAAAGACCAGGACUCCAACUAUAUAAACUGUGCUAAAACCUACCUCGGAGCAUUCUGGUACAAUACUUGCCACCAGGCUAACCCCAAUGGUAUCUAUCUGUGGGGAAAGGAUGGCACCCAUUUCGCUAUUGGAAAUGUGUGGUACACCUGGAAAGGCUAUGAUUACGGUCCCAAGUCCAUCAGUAUGAAGAUCAGGCCUGUGGCCUAGAACCAUAUAAUGGGUUCCUUUUGCUUAAAAUAAAAGGAGCAGAAUCUGACAAGGCCUGUUUUCUUUUCUCUUUUUCUUUUAGAACUAGACAGAGUUGAAAACCAGAAAGAUUGCCGUUCUGCUGUUUAAACCUGUACCACUGUCAAAUACCCAUUUCACCCCGCCUGUAUCACAGACUGCUAUGACAUCUGUGGGACUCGCCUUCAAUAGCGAGGACACUGUC